GGAAGCUGAUCCCCCCCCAUCUUGACCGCCCCCUCUGCCUUCGCCACCAAAACCGGACUCCGCCAAGUCCCGCUACCCUGGUACCAGUUAUGGGAUCCAAGAGAAUUCCGGAACCCAACCGGUCCAUUACCGCGGCUCCGGGCCCGCUGUAUGCAGUUCUUCCCUAAUUGUAUGUGGCCUGGUGAUCUCCAGAGGUGCUGGAAUGCAUAGAAGAUGGAAGGCUGCAGCUAAGGGGAAGUUGGUGCUGGGGAGACACUUUCCAGUGGGACAGCUGCUUUUAGGUCACCUGUGACUUCUGGCCUUGAACUCACAGAGAUCCCCUUG
rnacentral:lncRNA from 1 species